rnacentral:rRNA from 1 species
UACAGAGGGUGCGAGCGUUAAUCGGAAUUACUGGGCGUAAAGCGUGCGCAGGCGGUUUGCUAAGACAGGUGUGAAAUCCCCGGGCUUAACCUGGGAAUGGCAUUUGGGACUGCAAGGCUGGAGUGCGGCAGAGGAGACUGGAAUUCCUGGUGUAGCAGUGAAAUGCGUAGAUAUCAGGAGGAAUACCGAUGGCGAAGGCAGGUCUCUGGGCUGACACUGACGCUCAUGCACGAAAGCGUGGGGAGCAAACAGG